rnacentral:rRNA from 1 species
UACGGCGGGGGCUAGCGUUGUUCGGAAUUACUGGGCGUAAAGCGCGCGUAGGCGGACCUGCAAGUCGGGGGUGAAAGCCCGAGGCUCAACCUCGGAACUGCCUCCGAUACUGCGGGUCUCGAGUCCGGGAGAGGUGAGUGGAAUUCCUAGUGUAGAGGUGAAAUUCGUAGAUAUUCGCAAGAACACCAGUGGCGAAGGCGGCUCACUGGCUCGAUACUGACGCUGAGGUGCGAAAGCGUGGGGAGCAAACAGG